ACUUUUCCACUUCUUUCGUCUUCCCAGCAAAACUCCACCCAAUUUUUUUAUUUCUCAUCCUAAUUUCUCUUCCCCCUCCUCUUUCUCUGUUUUUUUUCCUUCUAUCUUCCCCUCCAAAGACCAAUUUGCUAACACAAAAAGCUCUUUAAUUCGUGACAAGAAGAAAAUUUCAUCAUAUUAGAGCUUGGAAUCAGGCAAAUUUCAGAAACAAUCUCCAUUCUAUAACAAAUUAUUUUACAGGAUCAUACUAAUUUCUUUAAAAAGACAGUAUUUGAGAACAUGAACAGGUUACAAUGAUAAGAAGAAGUGGUGAACAAAUCCAGCUGAGUAGCAACUUAAAAAAUUAGCUAAGAAUUAAGAUGCAUAAAAAAGGCAAGACUGAAACAGAAAAUCAGAAGCUGCCCAAACUCAAUUUUCCAGAUCAGAAACCCUAAAAACAGUCAAAAUCCACUAAAUCCACUAUCGAUUUUGCUCUUAAGUGUAUUAAAUCGAUAUCUUCUUCAUCAUCAAAAUAGUUGUUUUCUUGUUUGAGUUUUUGGUAGGGAAUUUGCUUGACAAUGGUGGAUGUCAUGUUUUGUAAAAUAAUGCAGAGAAACGUACAAGACAAAGAUGAUAUGAACAGGAUAGGAGGGUGAAGGAAGAAGAAGGGGGCGGUUGGGUAUUUCACGCUUUUUUGCUUUUUUUUUUCCCUUUUUGUAUUUGUAACUCUUUUUUUCUGAUUUUGUAUUUAAAAAUGGGACCCACAAAUAACACAUGGCAAGUAAUAAAUAGCUUAGCAUGAUGUGUUGUACAUGUCAGCGCAACUGGUAUACACGCUCUGGUGGAUGUGUUUAUUAGUACUCAUUUUUUCAAGUUUGAGUGUUCAGAUGGAAAAAUUCAAAGUUCAUGUAUCGGCUUUCAAAAGCCCUACAAGUUUAAGUGGCCAGGAAGCCAUUACGCCAAAUAAUUAAUAAAGAACCUAAAUAAAGGUGGUAAAUAGAUUUCUAUUAUAGUAUAGCUAGGUAAAAAUCCCUUAUUUUUGCUUAUUUAGCUCAUCUUGAACCAGCAUCUCAGCCCAAAAUGCUUUAGUGCUAAUAACAUGGAUUGGGCUGACCUAUUAAUUGAUUCGGCCCAUCUCUAUUUCAAACUAUUGUCUCUGUUGGGAACAGCAGUCAGAAAAGAGGGCAGAAUAGGAGGGUUCUGAAACAACAAUUGUAACGAAAGAAAGAAAAGAUUCAUAAAAGGAUGAGAUUGAGGAGGAAUGGUAACCUGACCAUCCUUGGAUCAAUAAAAUCAUGGAAGUCACUGUUGGAUCUAAAGAGGAAGGACCAAAUAUCAACUGCUGCACUCUCUACAUCUACAGUGACGACGACGGGCAGAAGAAGAAUCCCAGCUGUUUUCAAUCUUGUUCGUUUGUAUUCUACGGAAGAGCUGCAGCAGCCUCAAUUGUCUGUUGACCUAAUUAAAAUGAUGGAACAAAGAUUAUCAUCGAUUGAGAACAGAAAUGCUCAUCUUCAGCGUUUUCUAAAUCAGCCAGAGUUAACACCUUCUGAAUAUUCAACUGCCAACAAAGAACUCAGGAAACUCAGAGAUUCAGUACAUCUCAUAACCGAGUUAAGAGCAAAACAGAAGGAGAUUCAGGAACUGAAAUCGGUAAUUUCCGAAUGCCAAGAUGACAAGGACAUGCAGAAGAUGGCUUCUGAGGAAUUGAGUGAGGCCACAGAAGGAGAGAAAGAAUUGCAGCUUCUCCUUCUAAAGUCAUUACUACCCAAAGACGAUGCUGACGAGAGGGACUCCAUUCUCGAAGUGAGGGCAGGAGCUGGAGGGGAAGAAGCUUCUUUGUUUGCAAUGGACAUAUUCAAAAUGUACGAAAAAUAUUCGGCGAAAAAAGGUUGGAAAUACGAGGUUCUAGAAAUAGCUGAGUCUGAUCUUAAAGGAUACAAAGAAGCUAUUGCAUCUAUAUCUGGAUCUGGUGUGUACGGGAAACUAAAAUUCGAGAGUGGAAUUCAUAGAGUUCAGCGAGUGCCUGUGACAGAGAAAGGUGGACGCGUUCACACCAGUGCUGUCUCCGUUGCAAUUCUACCGCAGGCAGAUCAGUUAGAUGUGAAAUUGAGGAAUGAAGAUUUGAAAAUUGAUACUUACAGGUCAGGAGGAUCAGGAGGUCAGCACGCGAAUACCACAAACAGUGCUGUGAGAAUCACUCACGUUCCUUCGGGGAUAACUGUUUCCAUACAAGACGAGCGAUCCCAGCAUAUGAACAAGGCCAAAGCACUAAAAAUAUUGUGUGCAAAACUAUAUGAAAUCGAACGACUCAGAUUUCAGUCGAGUAGAUCAAAACUUCGAUUAGAGCAGAUUGGCAGUGGGGACAGAUCUGAACGGAUCCGCACCUAUAACUUUCCUCAAGGACGGGUUACUGAUCACCGUGUUGGUAUCACAACUCAUUCCAUAGAUGAUGUUAUGCAAGGAGAGGAUUUGGAUACUUUCAUUGAUGCUCUCCUUUUGCGGGAGGAAAUGGACGCGAUUGCAUCCUUCAGCUCCACCUAAUGUUAGUUGUCACUGGUUAGUGGUGGUGGGAUUGUGCAUUGUUAAAUUGUUAUUUCCAUUAUGCUUCAAACUGUUAAUAAGAGCAACGAUUUUUUUUCCGGUGAAGCUACCUGUCAAAUACUUUAGAUGGAGGGAAGUUUUUAGGCAGGGAAGCUGGAAAUAAAUGAAGUUCAUGUUAUAUGCGCGGCAGGUCCUUUUCUUUCUUUUCCUUGGUACAGCCUCCAGGUUGGGCUAGAAGACCAACUUUUUGACUCUGUGUUCAUGUGAGUACAUGUCAACUCAUUCAUUUGUCGUUUACACCAGAACAUGUUUAUUUGUUAGUAUAUUCUUAUGUUGGUUACCUGCUCUUAUACCUAAAAGAGGUUAUCAUCUGCUAUAUCCUUGAAUCUGAGUGCUAAGAGUUGUUAAAGUUUUGAUGUUCGAUCAGUUUUCUUUCUUGCUUAUAAUUUUGGGAAGAGUACUGCAAUCAGUCUUUAAAGUGUUUGAUAUGCAGUUCUAUGUCUAGCUCUUGUGGAACUUUUUUUGUGAGGAAGAGAACAAAGGGAAAAAAGAUAUACAGACUGCUAGUUUGGAGAAUGAGGGUGUGGUUCUUACACAUGCUGAAUCAUUUUAGUAUAUACUUCUGUUAAUUGUUUGAUAUUGGUCAAUGAUAGAUUCUUGAAAUUUUCUGUGUUGUGAAUGUAGUCAUCCAAUACUAGUAUCCCCUAGGCUUUUGGCUUGAAAAAUCUGUCAAAUCUUAACGUGAAUGCAGGCACCAGAAGACGAAAGUUCAACUAAACUCCGUGACUGCUAGUCAAUCAAUUUUGAGUGUUCCUCCAAGGAAUAAAGAGAAAUAAGUAGGACAAAGUUUAAUCUAUCAUCUGUUGUCUUGAACUAUGUCCUAUCGGUCUAAAGUAACUCAAGAAAAGUUGAGAAUGCUAAAAUCUUAGGCUUUUCUAGUGAUGGGAAUUGUUUAAGAAAUAUUUAAAGUCAAAAGAUAUCCAUCAGAGGGAAUUCAAAGUUUAUAAAACAGAGUUCAUUCUAGUCACAGGGUCGCCAGAAGGUUGGAGCUUUUUCCAUGAGAGAAAGAUUGAGGAUUUGGAGCAGCUUCUCGAGUGUCCGUUGAUUGAACCUAUGGAACGAGAAGAUGACAAACUAAAAUCAAGGAUAAGUUUGAUAUCAAAGAGAUCUAAAUUCAUCGAGCACUGCAAAAGUAUGUGCAGUCGAGUAGUUUCUGACAAUAUACCAUACUAGAAUAGUCCAGUUAACUCCAUUCACUUGUUUGCGAUUUUUUAAGUAUUUGAGACUUGACUGGUCAUUACAAGAAAAUGAGCAACUAAGAGAGAUGAUGUGGAUUCAUUGUUAGACACCAUAGAGGUUCUUGUAAGAAGAACAAGGACAUACUUUUUGCUCUUUUUGAUCUGUAAAUAUGGCUACUAGCACAGUCCUUUGCGCUAAAGAUAUAUAAGAUUGUUACCCUUCUCAAAAGAAAAGAUGAUGAGCAACUAAGAGAGCUACAGAUGGAAAAAGAGUUCUUCCCUUUCAUCAAUAGAUCAAGAGGGGGCAACAUUCUUUGAACACACUAUCUCACUGUAAAAAUAUAACUUACAAAUUCUAAUUUGUUAAUCAUCCAUGCUUGAUCAAACAUCAAAACAUGUCAAGACAAUUCAAUCUAGCCUCACUACAAUGUAAGGGAUGGAUAUAUUUUCUGUCACUGUUUUGAACAUGUCUUAGACCUCCUCUGAACAGCACGUUGUAGAAGAUAGAAAAGAGUUGUCUCUUCUGAGGCGUGUGCUUCAUUGGGCGUGUGAGACAUGUUUUGUGGUGAGAUAAAUGAUAUUAUAGGUGUACUUUUGAGAAACUCUUUUUAAUCAGAGGAACAAAUGCUUCUUCAUAUUAGAGGUUCAAAAGAGUUUGAAUAUAUGAAACCUUCGUUUUAACACUACUGUUCUGUAGGAUCUGUUGGUAUAUAGGAAUAAAGUUCUUUAAGGAGCCAGUUUGCCGUUCAAGGGCCAACUAAGAUUUUGAAGCAGCAAGUACAAGGUAUACACGAUUUGAUUGAUCUUGCUGGCAGAGUGAUAUUUUCAAAUAUGCAGUUCAAGAAGACAAAUUGAUGGGGCAUAGCACUUUUUUCCCUGUUAUAUCCAUUUUUAAGUGUCUUUCUGUUUCAACCUCUUCUGUUUAUUAUGUUUAAAAUAUAACAAAAAACUUUAGCUCGGUAAUUGAACUUUGCUUUGCACAGAA